AUUGGAAGUAAAGACUUUUGAAUAGGAACACAGGCUUACUGGUUUUUGUUUUUUUGUUUUUUUAUUAAUUUUUGAGAGAUAGAGACAGCGUGAGCAGGGGAGGGUCAGAGAGAGAGAGGGACACACAGAAUCUGCAGACAGGCUCCAGGCUCUGAGUUAGCUGUCAGCACAGAGCCUGAUGCAGAGCUCGAACACAAAAACAGUGAGAUCAUGACCUGAGCCGAAGUCAGCAACCCAGGUGCCCCGGGGCUUACUGUUUAAAGGAGAGACUUUUAUUUCCAUUUUACACCUGAGGAAACCAGUGCUUCUCAAAUAUUUUCUUUUCAAAUAAUUCUCCAGGGUCACGUGGCUGGUCGAGGUUGGAUCUCCCAGAGACCAGGGCAUAUACAUACAUGUGUGCCCUGGCCCGAAUCCUCAGAUCACCAAGGCUUUGGCCACCUCCACCCUUGUGUGACACUGUGCCAGGGUUUGCAGCCUAUUGGAGGAAAACAACAUCAAGGGAGAGUCCCCGAGAGGGGAGAAGCAUGUUUAGAGAAGGCCUUGGGGGUGUUCCGGAAGCAGUCUGGCCGCGAGCACACCGGUGCACACCUGCCGGAGAUGGGAGCCUGCAGGCCAGGAGGCACUGGCGCGGGGAGGGGCCGCGGUGAGGCCCCAGCUUCCUCUGACGCUGGCAGGUUUGCUUUCGGCCCUGAGAGGCUUUCCUCACUAGGAAAAGCUAAUUUCUUGAUUUAUGCUGAAGAACGCUUUUCAGAAGUACUUUACAAAGGGCCUUGGCUCUUAGUUAAUCUGAAAAUGUUUGAUUCUGAAACUGUUUCUCAGCAUUGA
rnacentral:lncRNA from 1 species